rnacentral:lncRNA from 1 species
AAUAAUUUUAGUUGUUAAUUUUUUUUAUAAUUUUCUAUCUAUUAGACAUAUUUUAUUAUAGGAAAAUUAUCAAUCGUAUACCCUUAGUUUACUCCAUUAUCAAAUUUACUACAACACUUUCAGGGUAUAUCAGUCAUCGACCAUAAGUUGACAAAAUAUAUUUGUCGUCCACCAAACUGUUAGUUGCCAUUUAAAUAUGAUGAUGUCAGAGGGAUAAUCUAGUCUUUUCAUAUGAUACAAGUGAUAAUUUAAAGCUAUAUAAGUGAUAAUAAGAGAUUUUAAGGGUAUACAAGUGAUAAUUUUCGAGGGUAAAAUCGUCAAUUCGUUACUGUUCCGUUAACUUUCAAACGACAACUAACGGUUUAGUGGACGGCAGAUAACUUUUGUCAAUUUAGGAUGGACGAUUGAUACACCCUUAAAGUGUUGUAAUAUUUUUGAUAAAAGCACAAAUUUAGGUUAUACGAAUGAUAAUUUUCCUUUAUUAUAUUAAACU